rnacentral:lncRNA from 1 species
CAUUAUACCUUGGCAAAAUAAUAAUAAUAAUAAUAAUAAUAAUAAUAAUAAUAAUAAUGGCUGCAUUCUGCCUGUGUCCUGAAAUGUUGAAUACAACUGAAUUCAAAAGUAAUUCACUCAUUUUUUGGCAGAAGAGAUCCUAAGACAGCACAGCAUUCAAGCUGUGUGGUAAUUACUGCACACUGGUCUCAGCCAGUGAGAGAAAAUAGGAAGAAAGUAGCAAAGUUUAGUUUAAAUAUGCAAAGAGGGCAGGUGUAGGCAAGCAGCCAUAAUUUUUAAAGAGAUUAAUACCAAUUAAAGAGAAAUCUUUUGUUUAACAGUUUGUCCAUUAGAAACUAGUUUGAAGCAAGACUCUCUGAAGGCUCCAACUUGUGAAAAUAUAAAUUGUUAUAAAAGAAAAGAUCCUGAAAUGAAACUUCUAAUGUAGGGGUUAGUCUCCCUGUGCCCUAGUCCUAAAGCAACUGCUUGGGAAAAUAUUCUCUCAUGUUGAGCUGCCAAGGUCAACAGAAGCCACUACAGCUACAUUAGAAAGGGACUACACUGCAUCUCAAUGCAACUUGAAAGCAUCACCCCCAUGUUACUAGUUCUGCAGUAACAGAAAAUGCAAGAGUGAGAAUGUCUUAGGGACUUGUUUCAGAGAGUCUCUCAAGCCAGGCAAAAUAAGGCAGGGUCACUUUCCCUGGGAAAAAGGUUCCAAGAGGCCAUUCUAGGAAACUUUGAAGGUGAUGCCUGGUUGUAGUAAGAAAUUCAGAUUGCAGAUGCCAGAAUCAUGGGUUAAUUACCAAGGAAAGCUAGAAGCAUGGAGUGUAUCUGGGCCAAGAGCAAGGGCCCAUGUGCUAUAAACUGCAAGGCUAAAAGUGAGGGUAUAUCUCCGGCCAUUGAAUUCUAUCAAAGAUCCAGAUAAUGGACAUAAAUCUCUAGGAUUCAGUGUCUGUCCUGCUGCUUUUCAGUCUUCUUUUGGCCUAGCCAUUCCUUAUUGUUCCUCCUUUCAUCCCUUUUCAAAUGUGGACAUUUAUUCUGUGCCAUUGUAAUAUACCUUUUUUAAAAAUAAGAACUCACGGUAAUGAGAAUGCCUUGAGUCUCAGAAAAGACUAAACUUUUUUUUCUUGUGGAAAUAGAUAUUUUUUAAUUUUUAUAAAAUUUGGAAUACACUCCAUAUUCCAUUCCCCAUACUCCAUCCACCCUCCAACUGCUCCACGUCCCAUCCCAUCUCCACAUGGAUGCCCCCCACCCUCCCCUACCACACCUGACCUCUAAACUCUCUGGGGCCUCCAGUUGCUUAAGGGUUAAGUGCAUCAUCUCUGAAUGAACACAGACAUGAAAGUCCUCUACUGUAUGUGUGUUGGGGGCCUCAUAUCAGCUGGUAUAUGCUGUCUGGUGGUCCAGUGUUUGAGAGAUCCAGAUUAAUUGAGACUGCUGGUCCUUCUACAGGGUGGCCCUCCUCCUCAGCUUCUUUCAACUUUCCCUAAUGCAACAACAGGAGUCAUCUACUUCUGUCCAUUGGUUGUGUGCAAAUAUCUGCAUCUGACUCUUUCAGCUGCUUGUUGGGUCUUUCGAAGGGCAGUUACGAUAGGUCCCUUUUUGUGAGCACUCCAUAGCCUCAGUAAUAGUGUCAGGUCUUGGGACCUCCCCUUGAGCUAGAUCCCCCUUUGGGUCCUUAGCUGGACCUUCUUUUUCUCAGUCUCCUCUCCAUUUCCAUCCCUGCAGUUCUUUCAGACAGUAACAAUUAUGUGUCAGAGUUUUGACUGUGGGAUGGCAAUCCCCUCUGUCAUUUGAUUCCCUAUAUUUCUGCUAGAGUCAUGUUCUAAAAGUUCCCUCUCCCUACUAUUGGGCAUUUCAUGUAAGGUCCCUCCCUCUGAUUCCUGAGAGUCUCACCUCCCAGAUUUCUGGUGCAUUCUUGAGUCCCCCAACCUCCUAUUUCCUAAGAUUACCUGUUUCCGUUCUUUCUGCUGGUAUUGGGUGAGGAAAAAAGAGUAAACCUUUAAAUAGUGUUUUCAAUGUAAAAUACUAUAGUGACUUUAACAAUUGGACUGAAUUCGUUUUGCAUAAUAAUAUGGCCACUACCCUUUGAGUACCAAAAGUGAAAGUUAUAAUUUGAAAGUGAUAUAUUUGAGUGUCAAGUUGACAAGGGAUGGACUCAUGAUAGUCCUGAUUGUUAAUUUAGUGGUAUUUAGAAUAUUGUAGUACAUACAACUCUUAAUACGUCUAAUAUGGUCUUAUCAGAAUUAAUUAUGAGUGGAAAGUCUCACUAUGAAUAUUCUACUUAAUUGAAUUGAAAAGAUGCACUAUGAGUGUAGGUAGUUCCAUUCCAUGAUAUGGGCUUCAUGGCCGAAUAAAAGGAAGGAAGUUAUCUAAAGACCAACAUUUUUCAUUCCUUCUUGACUCUGGACACAAUGUGAUCAACUGUGUCAUGUUCCUUUCACUACUAUCACAGCUAUUUACAUGUCACACAGUCUACACCAUACCUUCAAAGUGAACUAAACAAACCCAUCUUCCUUGGUAUCCUUUUGUCCGAUAUUUGUCACAAUGACCAAAAAGUAACUAACACAAAUAGGUUAGGAGCUUUUGAAAUUGUUUAGGUGAAUGAAGAUCUGGGACCAAAAGAGGCAUUAAAAUAAUUGUCUGGGGAAUCCAAUCAAUGCAGAAAGUGAGCUUGCUAAUGCAUAUGGAUGGGAAAAAAGGCACUUAACUCUGUUUUUAUUGGCUUGGCCUGGCCACAUAAUUGUUUCAGCUCUCCACUUUGCUUUGACUAUGCCAGAGUCAUUGUAUGGUUUUCAUAAAUUUCUUAAUAUCCAUAGGUUUCAUUUUAACCAGCUGAAAAGAAGGAAAAUAAUUCUUGUCAUCACUGGUAAUUGCCUCAUAAGAAUGCUUUAUGCACUUGCAUAAGGGCUAGUAUAUUCGUGAGAUGAAAUGAUCAUUAAUAAGGUUUCUAAUAUUUAUUUUAAAGUGCUUCAAGAUCUUCUAGAAACUCAACAGGUUGAAAUGCUAAAUAUUUUAACUACAAAUAAUAUUCAAAAUAAUAAAUUGAGAACAAUUGCUAGUGGCUUUCCUUUGGUUACAAGUCUUCUCUGAGCCAUUUUCAGUUUAUUCAUAAAAUUUACAAAAUAACUACAAUCGCCAAAGUUGUUUUAAGAAAGAUGCU